GAUCCUGGCUCAGAAUCAACGCUGGCGGCGUGCCUAACACAUGCAAGUCGAACGAGAAAGUGGAGCAAUCCAUGAGUAAAGUGGCGCACGGGUGAGUAACACGUGACUAACCUACCCUUGAGUGGGGGAUAACCUCGGGAAACCUUGGCUAAUACCGCAUAAUACCUACGGGUCAAAGGAGCAAUUCGCUUAAGGAGGGGGUCGCGGCAGAUUAGUUAGUUGGCGGGGUAAUGGCCCACCAAGACAGUGAUCUGUAUCCGGCCUGAGAGGGCGCACGGACACACUGGAACUGAAACACGGUCCAGACUCCUACGGGAGGCAGCAGUGGGGAAUUUUGCGCAAUGGGGGAAACCCUGACGCAGCAACGCCGCGUGGAGGAUGAAGUCCCUUGGGACGUAAACUCCUUUCGACCGGGACGAUAAUGACGGUACCGGAAGAAGAAGCCCCGGCUAACUUCGUGCCAGCAGCCGCGGUAAUACGAGGGGGGCGAGCGUUGUUCGGAAUUAUUGGGCGUAAAGGGUGCGUAGGCGGUUCGGUAAGUUUCGUGUGAAAUCUUCGGGCUCAACUCGAAGCCUGCACGAAAUACUGCCGGGCUUGAGUGUGGGAGAGGUGAGUGGAAUUUCCGGUGUAGCGGUGAAAUGCGUAGAUAUCGGAAGGAACACCUGUGGCGAAAGCGGCUCACUGGACCAC
rnacentral:rRNA from 1 species